UCAAAGAUGAUGAGGUUAAUAGGUUCGAGGUGGAAGCGUGGUGACACGUGGAGCUGACGAAUACUAAUCGAUCGAAGACUUAAUCAAA
rnacentral:rRNA from 1 species